rnacentral:rRNA from 1 species
CCAGACUCCUACGGGAGGCAGCAGUGAGGAAUAUUGGUCAAUGGCCGCAGGGCUGAACCAGCCAAGUCGCGUGAGGGAUGACGGUCCUAUGGAUUGUAAACCUCUUUUGUCAGGGAGCAAUUGGCGCUACGUGUAGCGUUAUCGAGAGUACCUGAAGAAAAAGCAUCGGCUAACUCCGUGCCAGCAGCCGCGGUAAUACGGAGGAUGCGAGCGUUAUCCGGAUUUAUUGGGUUUAAAGGGUGCGUAGGCGGACGCUUAAGUCGGCGGUAAAAUUGCGGGGCUCAACCCCGUCGAGCCGUUGAAACUGGGUGCCUUGAGUGGGCGAGAAGUACGCGGAAUGCGUGGUGUAGCGGUGAAAUGCAUAGAUAUCACGCAGAACUCCGAUUGCGAAGGCAGCAUACCGGCGCUCAACUGACGCUCAUGCACGAAAGUGUGGGUAUCGAACAGGAUUAGAUACCCGUGUACG